UAUAUAGUUCUGCUGCCCAGCCAUUCAUUCAUUCAUCCCCUGUGCUGGUAUGCCUGGUUUUCCUUUGGAGAAUCACCCUUCCCCACUCUCAGUCUAUAUGGUUUUGAUGGAGUAGGCCCCCACUUGUGGGCUCCCAGGACAUUCCACUUCCCUGGCAACAGUGAUUGGCUCUUUGGGGCCACACAGCCAUGUACCAAAGAGAAUCAAUGAAACUUUGGCUGGGAAUGUUGGGAGAGUGGCAGAUACUUUUUCCAUGUGGACUUGAACCUGAGAGGAUGUGAAGAGUCAAGAACCUGGUUAGAAGAACGGGCAGGUUGAGGCCGACUGUCCGGCCCCCUGGACCCUACCUCCAACUUCAGGAUCCGAACCCAUGGCCUUGGUAUUAUCAGCAUCGCACUCUCCCGAGGGAGCCACCGACCAGCCCUUGUUGCUGAAGUUCUGACAUCACAUCCCAAGGGUGAUGCUGGGACAGGGACAUGAACUCUUUGUUAUUUACCCCCUCUCCUGCCUUCCAAGGGCUGCUGCCAAGGAGGAUCAUUUGUGGCUGAGCACCACAGUGCAUGUGAGGAGGAGACCUGGGCCAUGGAGAGUGAUGAGAGCGAUCAUUGCUCUUCAAAAGACAGGGCCAUCCAGGAGCCUUUGGGACCACCAGGUUUGGGGGAGGGAGAGAUGAAGGGACGAGAGGUAGGAGAGAAACUCCGUAAAGGGAAUUUUAAAAAGUGUUAUUGUGUGAUGUGUGGUGCAAUUGUCUCCUCCAUCUCUUGGAGACUUUUGGAAACUCUGCCUUGCUUGCCAAAGCUUUCACAGAAGAGGCUGUGUUUUGGAGUAGGUGGAGCUGAGCCUUAAGACGGCCCCCAAAUGAAGGCAGGGCUAGAGUAGGUGUUAGACAAAGAACCAGUCACACUGGAGCAAAACAAAGAAAUUCACCCUGAGAUGAGAAUUUUUAACACACGACUCUGGGCAGGGAGAGGGCUGGCAGCUGUAGACCAAGGCCAAAAAUGGAGCACUGGAUUGAGAGUCAGAGGCUUCACUGAAGUGUAUCCUCUUGUGCUGGACAGUUCAUGUCCUUGGAGGAAGUCUCAGUGUCCUCACUUGGUCCCCAGGAAGCAGAGGAGCAAAGGAAAAGCAUGAGACAGUUGGUCAAGGGCUAUGGAAGUAGAAGAAAGCCUUGGUAACGGUGGCUUUUCAGACAUGGCAGUCACAUGGUGACUCCCACCAGGAGGCCUCACUUUUCCAGCGUGUGGUACAAGCUCCUUUCACAUAGUUGUCUUGGGCUUCACAGGACAAGGCUUGCCUAGAGAGAGAGAAUCAAAAAGAAGAUAAUGCCAGAGUUCCUGCAAUCAAGUGUCUGAAAGGGGUUGGCAUCCUGUGCUUGGUUGGAACACCCAUUGCCUCCCCCGGAGUGGAAUUUCCUCCACAAGCCCCCCCAAAGGGCUUGAACACUGCUCUUACCCCAACUUCCACUUCUUUUAAAGAGACACCCCCUUGGAACCACAUCCCUCCCUCUGUGCAGGUUGUCCAGAGGCCACCUCCAGAGAAAGGCAAGUCUGGUGAGCCGCCAGGCUUUGGUUUUGCUGAGAGGGGGAUACUGGGACUCAGAGGAGAGACUAGGCACCACUCAACUGUCCCCGGUGCAAAGCUGAGCCUCUGUCUUAAAUCUGAGCUGGACAAUACUUUUAAAAUGUUGGUUGGAAACCCCAAAAUGUUAGCUGUCCAGGGACUUCUAAAUGGCCUCAAUUGAGGGAUUGAGCUAGCUGGUUUCUCCAGGCCUUUCCUUGCAGGCCUGACGUAUAUUGUGUUGAGGACCCCAGGGUGAAGGCCUCAGAAGCAGCUGCCAAAGCAAAGUUUUUCUCUGACCUUCUCCUGCCUUCCCGUCUCUCAGCCUCAUUCUCUCCUGAGACAAGGCACAGAGAUUAGAAUUCCUCUUCUCCAAGGAGGGUCAUAGAUAUACUCUAAUCCCCACUCCCCCAUCCCCUUCACCCCCCGCUGCUAUUCUGUCCUAGAGCUGGCCAUAAAGAAAUUUUCUGACCUACCUUGUCUAAUCGUAGGUCAUAAACCCAUUUUAGGAAGGGUCCUGCUCCAUAUCCUGGAGGAAAGAAUGCUACACUGAGAAACUGUAUUAGUCCAUUUCUGUUGCUUAUAACAAAAUACCUGAAACUGGUUAAUUUAUAAAAAAAAUGAAAUCUAUUUCUUAAAGUUUGGAAGCUGGCAAGUUACAGGUCCAAGGAACGCAUCUGGUGAGGGCCUUCUACAGCAACUCAGGGUAUAAUAUUGCGAGAGAGAGAAAAUGGCAUGAGCAAGUGAGCUAACCUCAAUCGCCUUCCUUAUAAAGCCAUCAAAAUUAUGAUGCCCAUUAGCCCAUGAAUGGAUCAAUGGGCAGAGUCCUCACAAUCUAAUCACCUCUUAAAGGCUCCACCUUUAAAUACCAUAAUUGGAUUUCACACCCUGUUAACAGUGUUACAAUGGGGGUCAAGCUUCAAUAAGUUUUAGGGGGACAUUCAAUCCAUGGCAGAGACCAAGAAGAAUCUGAACAAACAGGCCUUGCUGGGUUUCCCCACUCAGACUAAUAGCAUUAGAUUAUUAUUAUUAUUAUUAUUAUUAGCAUUUCUUGUCCAAUCACAUUACACAGCUGUGUCUGCCUCAUAGAACCUAAGCAUAAAAAUGUAGUUUUCCCUAUAUCUUUGGGUCUUCAUUCUGAAGGCUCCUGUGUCACGUAAAACUAUAUGAUAAAAUUUCUUAUGCCUUUUCUUCAUAUUAAUCUCUGUUAGAUGAUUUUUCAGAGAACCUUCAGGGAGUUGAAGGGGAUGUCUUGCCUUGGCACCUACAGUUGGUCCAUGAGUCUAAAUCUCAGUAAAGGUGAAGAACGAAAAUGUGGGGAGGGGGAGGAGGAAGAUGAGUAGGGUAUAGAGGAGUGAGAGGAACAGGGGGUCUCCUCUAAUAUCUCAUGAUACAGCAUUUAACCCGAAACUCAAGUUGCUUCACAGCAUCGGUGGUAAUUUCAGAUCUCACAGCUCCAGCACCAGUUUUUGUCUGUUUCUUUCUUUCUUUGUUUUCAUUUUGCCUAAGGGUACCCUGGACUAGGCCCUGAACUGCCCCUAGCCCUCGGGGCUUCUAUAUCUGGGAACUUCAGUGCCUAGGAUACACUCAGCCCAAACCACCUCCCUUCCAUUACCCCUCAGGCUUCUCAGAUUUCCUUGGUAUUGAGGCUUCAGAGCUGGGAUAGCAACCUCCCUCCUUCCCCAAGGGUAGCCAGGAUAUUGAGGGGUGUGCCAGCCACAGCAUCCUUCUGAAACACCUUACUGCCCAUUCUUCACAUGGCCAGGCCCCUCAUCCUUCAGUUCUCAGCCUCCAUGACCUCUGAGGAACAUGUCACAUAGGUGUGUCACUCCAAGGAUUCCCCUUACCCCCACCUUUAUUCCCCUAUGACCCUUUGUUAAUUCUCACAACCUGAAAUUAUUUUGUCUGUGUUCCCUUUGCCUGUGAUUCUUCGCCCGCAGAUGUCCAUGCGACUUGCUCUCUUCUUUGCUUCUAAGUCUUUGCUCAAAUCUUACAUUCUCUGUGAAGCCCACCAUGAUCAUCCCAGUAAAAAUUGCAACACACACCUCAACCCUCACCCCAGAACUCCUGAUUCUUUUUACUUUGCUCUAGCUUUCCUUUUUUCAUAGCAUUUAACACCUUCUAACAAAGUAAACAAUUACUUAUUUAUAAUGCUUACUGUUGUCUGUCUCCUGUUGGAAUUUAAGCACGUGAGAGCAGGGAUCGUUGUUUUUAUUCACCGAUGUAUCAGAAGUGCCUAUCACAAUACCCUGCACACGACAGAUAGUCAGGACGCUUUUAUCCAAUGACUGAAGUCAUGCUGGGUGGGUUUAUAAAAGAUCUGCAACAUAACCAGCACCAUCUUAGACAAGCCCAAGUACAAAAUGGUGCCGUCUACCUCCUCCCCUCCCCUCCCCCGUUCUCUUUUACCAGAAGCUUCAUGGUUUCAGAGAAAAUGAAACUUUCGGUGUUUCCACAUGUGCAGAACUCUCCAUUCCCAUGACCUAACUCAAUCCCCACCCCGGAAUUACAUCACCCGGCUCUUGGCACCAACAUACGAAUAUAAGCUCUACCACCCCCAUGCCUAGUGCUGUCCCCCAUUUUCAGGGCAGUCCUGGGCUGCCUGCCACUCUGAGCACAACCCGGCAGAUUUCUUUCUUUAAUAAAGCUUGAACAGUA